rnacentral:rRNA from 1 species
CUGCAACUCGCCUACAUGAAGCUGGAAUCGCUAGUAAUCGCGGAUCAGCAUGCCGCGGUGAAUACGUUCCCGGGCCUUGUACACACCGCCCGUCACACCACGAGAGUUUGUAACACCCGAAGUCAGAGUGGAGUAACCGUAAGGAGCUAGCCGCCUAAGGUGGGACUAGAUGAAUUUGGGUGAGACUGUAUCA